AAGAGGAAGGUGAAAAAUUUGAACAAAAUACUUUUGGAACAAAGAAAGAAAACUUAGUAAAAGGAGAAAAGUAGAAGGAUUGAAAAACUCCCCUGUCAUGGCUUGGAUUUAUUUGAAUGAUGGGAGUGGAUGGUGCCUUCAGUGACACUUCCUUUGUGACUAAGACUUUGUCCUUCUCCAUUUCUCUCACAAGUUNUUCUUCUUUUACUCUCUCCUCUUUUU
rnacentral:lncRNA from 1 species